rfam:Dipodomys ordii contig_75724, whole genome shotgun sequence.
GGUGGCUCAGUGGUAGAGUGCUUGCCUUGCAUGCAUGAAGCCCUGGGUUCCAUUCCUCAGCACCA